ensembl:lncRNA
CGUCUCUGCAGCGGGUCCCUCUCUUUCUGGGGCUCUCCUUCUCAUCUGUGCAUUCCGCUCGCUGUCUGACAAGCCUGUGUUUGUCAACUGAUUCUACAAAUUAACUAAGCCACCAAUCCAGAAUUAGUAGGACUGGGCUUCCCUUUUUAUUUUGAGACUGUGAUGGAGCCAAGACGCAGCAGCUGGGCCAUCAGGCCGCUCUCAACCUUGGCAGACAGAGGGGACCAUGCUCGGCAGGUCCAAGGCCAGCUGGGUGGGCGGUGCCUGCAGGCUACUGAGUUCCUCCUCUGGGGCCCAGGCUCCCCGGAUGGGAGAGAUACGAGACUGGACAGCAGUUGGACCGGUCCCCCGCCCCCCAGGCUUGGGGCUGCCUGUUCCCUCCUGGACAGCAGGGAGGGACAGCUGGUGCUGGUGGCACUCAGCGGGUGACACGGUCCCAGGAGUGCUUCUCACAGACGACUGCAGCCCCCACGUCACAGAUGAGGAAGCCGGAGACAUAGCACCAGCCAGCAAGUCAGGGUGGACCUGCACGGUCAGCUCCAGUGAGAAGCCCCAAGUCUAAAGAAACACAGGAGACAUGGGAGAGGCCCCGAAGGAGAAGCCGAAACCAGCCCAGCUUCCACAGCCAGGUCGUCACCUAGGGACGCUGCGCCGGGCUGCAGGGACCCAGGCCUUCCCCCAGCCGCCCCGGAAUCUGAGAAACCCCGGACAGAGAAGCCUCGAGGCCCAGGGCUGAGCCCCUGCAGACUGGAGAACCCCCGUUUCCCAAGUGCAGCUCACCAGGCACCUCCACUGCUGAUUGAGACCCAGGACACGUCUCGUGGAGAAGCUGGGUGCGCCCUGCAGGAGCUCUCAGGACACUUCGUGCAGGGAACAGGGGCCGCUCUCAGCCAAGUGGAGGAGGCAGAAGGGGACGGCGGGCCUGACGGAUCGCGAUGGCUCCCUGACCCGCACCCUGGCCCUGCGACACCCUGGGCCGGUGCUGAGCAGACGGCAGCAGUGGCUGGGCCUCAGGCCUCUCCCGGGAGCCUCCCACACCAGCCUCGGCCGGCGCUGGGGCCCUGGCCCCGGGUUUGCCUCCAUCUGCCCGCUGAGGGCUGGGACCCCAGGUGGAAAGAGCUGUUGGGUCUCUGUCCUGCAGGCGAGGGCAGGAGAAGCUACUCAGUUCAACCGAGCACCGACUCCGUGAACGCCGUCUAUGUCCAGGCCCACAUGAGAUCGACGAAGAGCUCAUAGCGAGCGGGCUGCACAGCUUGUGAGGAGAUGGACGCCUGGAGCCACCGGGAUUCUGCUGCCCUUGGUGUAGCCGUGGCCUGGCAGGGGCUUUUCAACACCCACCGGGGAGCCCCAGGUACCGCUGAGCCCGAGAGCCACUGUGCCCGGGCUAGGAGCAGUCAGACUCUGCCUGGGGGUGCCCCUGGAGCGUCCACUUCUUCAGUCACUGCAGAAGCUGCGAGAGCUGUUAAGCGGACGGUCUUGGAGGGAAAGAGGUUCUUGAACAGACGAGUCUUCUCAGCUUGAUUUCAGCCAGGGCCUUGCCCCGCGCUACAGCCUGAGCUUACUCCUUCCUGGAACCGUGUCCCUUCUGUCCAUCCUGACUUUGAGGCUAAAUCAGCACAAACACGCAGUCAGGUCCGUGAACUGCCGCUCGACGCCGCAGGUGGCUGGCAUCCAUCCCGGCCGAUGCGUGGCUGCGGUCACCUCGGAUAAAACGACCCGAGAGGCAAAAACGAGGCGCAGCCGCCACCUCCCGUCAGCAGCCUCCGCUCCCCGCCCACCUCCCGUAACUCGGGGACUGAAAUGCUCCCCCUCCUGGGCUCCACUUUAAAGCUCAGCUCAUUUACCUUGAAAAGGGGUAAAAAGCAGGUCCUUCAGGUAAGGGACCACCUGCCCAGGUCCCCGCAGGCUUUACCAGAAGGUCCGUGCGGCUCACAGCCUUGGUGGUGGUGUGGCUGGCGCCCUGGAUACCACUCGCCUACAAGGAAAGGCCCCCGUCCCCGAGUGAGGGCCCCUCCGCCCCGCACCUACUGUGUGUGCGGCCCCGCCCGGCCGUCGGCGCCCCCAGUGGGGCUUGGACGAGGGGACCACGUGGUUCUGCCGAGGCCCGUGCUGCCUGCUGGGCCAGGAGUGACGCGUCCUUGGUCCCUGACAGGGUCUCCUGAUCCCCGCUGGACCCGUGGCCCGUGGGCUGCCGUGAGAGCUUGCAGUUGGGUAACACAGCUCUGGACGCGGCCUUCCUACAAUGACUGUCAGAACAGACGAUCCACAGCAAGAUGGAGCAACGUGGGGAAACGGCAAUUUAACAGGAGCUGCCUUGUCGUCUGGACGCAGCCAGCCGCGCUCCUUGCAGACGCUGGACCCCAGCUUUGGGGCACGGGCGCAGGCGGGGUGUCCAC